rnacentral:rRNA from 1 species
AGUGAACGCUGGCGGUAGGCCUAACACAUGCAAGUCGAACGGCAGCACAGUAAGAGCUUGCUCUUACGGGUGGCGAGUGGCGGACGGGUGAGGAAUACAUCGGGAUCUACUUUUUCGUGGGGGAUAACGUAGGGAAACUUACGCUAAUACCGCAUACGACCUACGGGUGAAAGCAGGGGAUCUUCGGACCUUGCGCGAUUGAAUGAGCCGAUGUCGGAUUAGCUAGUUGGCGGGGUAAAGGCCCACCAAGGCGACGAUCCGUAGCUGGUCUGAGAGGAUGAUCAGCCACACUGGAACUGAGACACGGUCCAGACUCCUACGGGAGGCAGCAGUGGGGAAUAUUGGACAAUGGGCGCAAGCCUGAUCCAGCCAUACCGCGUGGGUGAAGAAGGCCUUCGGGUUGUAAAGCCCUUUUGUUGGGGAAGAAAAGCAGCAGGUUAAUACCCCGCUGUUCUGACGGUACCCAAAGAAUAAGCACCGGCUAACUUCGUG